rnacentral:rRNA from 1 species
AUUGAACGCUGGCGGCAGGCCUAACACAUGCAAGUCGAGCGAGCGGCGGACGGGUGAGUAAUGUCUGGGAAACUGUCUGAUGUAGGGGGAUAUCAAUCGUAAACGGUGUCGAAAACACCAUACCAUCAGAUCUGCCCAGAUGGGGUUAGAUAGAGGGUGGGGGAACGGCGCACCAAGGGGACGAUCCCCAGCGGGUCUGAGAGGAGGACCAGCCACACUGGAACUGAGACACGGUCCAGACUCCUACGGGAGGCAGCAGUGGGGAAUAUUGCACAAUGGGCGCAAGCCUUAUGCAGCCAUGCCGCGUGUGUGAAGAAGGCCUUCGGGUUGUAAAGCACUUUCAGCGGGGAGGCGUUACCCGCAGAAGAAGCACCGGCUAACUCCGUGCCAGCAGCCGCGGUAAUAC